rnacentral:tRNA from 1 species
GCAUCGGUGGUUCAGUGGUAGAAUGCUCGCCUGCCACGCGGUGGGGCCAGGUUCGACUCCCGCCCGAUGCA